UACGUAGGGGGCAAGCGUUGUCCGGAAUCAUUGGGCGUAAAGAGCGUGUAGGCGGCCCGGUAAGUCCGCUGUGAAAGUCCAGGGCUCAACCCUGGAAUGCCGGUGGAAACUGUCGGGCUAGAGUCCGGAAGAGGCGAGUGGAAUUCCUGGUGUAGCGGUGAAAUGCGCAGAUAUCAGGAAGAACACCAAUGGCGAAGGCAGCUCUCUGGGACGGUACUGACGCUGAGACGCGAAAGCGUGGGGAGCGAACAGG
rnacentral:rRNA from 1 species